GGGCGUACUGGAGACUCGAGUUCGCGAGGCUAUCCUGCCGACUCGGACGUGCCGCGGGUGAUUCGCAUUGACGUUCUCUGAUGUCACAUUGCCGCGUGAGUGAAGAAGGCCUUCUGGUUGUUUCCAUCUUUUGUCAGGGAAGAAACGGUGAGAGCUAAUAUCUCUUGCUAAUGACGGUACCUGAAGAAUAAGCACCGGCUAACUACGUGCCAGCAGCCGCGGUAAUACGUAGGGUGCAAGCGUUAAUCGGAAUUACUGGGCGUAAAGCGUGCGCAGGCGGUUUUGUAAGUCUGAUGUGAAAUCCUCGGGCUCAACCUGGGAAUUGCAUUGGAGACUGCAAGGCUAGAAUCUGGCAGAGGGGGGUAGAAUUCCA
rnacentral:rRNA from 1 species